rnacentral:rRNA from 1 species
UACCCCGAGGAAAAGAAAUCAACCGAGAUUCCCCCAGUAGCGGCGAGCGAACGGGGAGCAGCCCAGAGCCUGAAUCAGUGUGUGUGUUAGUGGAAGCGUCUGGAAAGGCGUGCGAUACAGGGUGACAGCCCCGUACACAAAAAUGCACAUAUUGUGAGCUCGAUGAGUAGGGCGGGACACGUGGUAUCCUGUCUGAAUAUGGGGGGACCAUCCUCCAAGGCUAAAUACUCCUGACUGACCGAUAGUGAACCAGUACCGUGAGGGAAAGGCGAAAAGAACCCCGGCGAGGGGAGUGAAAAAGAACCUGAAACCGUGUACGUACAAGCAGUGGGAGCACGCUUAGGCGUGUGACUGCGUACCUUUUGUAUAAUGGGUCAGCGACUUAUAUUCUGUAGCAAGGUUAACCGAAUAGGGGAGCCGAAGGGAAACCGAGUCUUAACUGGGCGUUAAGUUGCAGGGUAUAGACCCGAAACCCGGUGAUCUAGCCAUGGGCAGGUUGAAGGUUGGGUAACACUAACUGGAGGACCGAACCGACUAAUGUUGAAAAAUUAGCGGAUGACUUGUGGCUGGGGGUGAAAGGCCAAUCAAACCGGGAGAUAGCUGGUUCUCCCCGAAAGCUAUUUAGGUAGCGCCUCGUGAAUUCAUCUCCGGGGGUAGAGCACUGUUUCGGCAAGGGGGUCAUCCCGACUUACCAACCCGAUGCAAACUGCGAAUACCGGAGAAUGUUAUCACGGGAGACACACGGCGGGUGCUAACGUCCGUCGUGAAGAGGGAAACAACCCAGACCGCCAGCUAAGGUCCCAAAGUCAUGGUUAAGUGGGAAACGAUGUGGGAAGGCCCAGACAGCCAGGAUGUUGGCUUAGAAGCAGCCAUCAUUUAAAGAAAGCGUAAUAGCUCACUGGUCGAGUCGGCCUGCGCGGAAGAUGUAACGGGGCUAAACCAUGCACCGAAGCUGCGGCAGCGACGCUGAUGCGUUGUUGGGUAGGGGAGCGUUCUGUAAGCCUGUGAAGGUGUGCUGUGAGGUAUGCUGGAGGUAUCAGAAGUGCGAAUGCUGACAUAAGUAACGAUAAAGCGGGUGAAAAGCCCGCUCGCCGGAAGACCAAGGGUUCCUGUCCAACGUUAAUCGGGGCAGGGUGAGUCGACCCCUAAGGCGAGGCCGAAAGGCGUAGUCGAUGGGAAACAGGUUAAUAUUCCUGUACUUGGUGUUACUGCGAAGGGGGGACGGAGAAGGCUAUGUUGGCCGGGCGACGGUUGUCCCGGUUUAAGCGUGUAGGCUGGUUUUCCAGGCAAAUCCGGAAAACUAAGGCUGAGGCGUGAUGACGAGGCACUACGGUGCUGAAGCAACAAAUGCCCUGCUUCCAGGAAAAGCCUCUAAGCAUCAGGUAACAUCAAAUCGUACCCCAAACCGACACAGGUGGUCAGGUAGAGAAUACCAAGGCGCUUGAGAGAACUCGGGUGAAGGAACUAGGCAAAAUGGUGCCGUAACUUCGGGAGAAGGCACGCUGAUAUGUAGGUGAAGUCCCUCGCGGAUGGAGCUGAAAUCAGUCGAAGAUACCAGCUGGCUGCAACUGUUUAUUAAAAACACAGCACUGUGCAAACACGAAAGUGGACGUAUACGGUGUGACGCCUGCCCGGUGCCGGAAGGUUAAUUGAUGGGGUCAGCGCAAGCGAAGCUCUUGAUCGAAGCCCCGGUAAACGGCGGCCGUAACUAUAACGGUCCUAAGGUAGCGAAAUUCCUUGUCGGGUAAGUUCCGACCUGCACGAAUGGCGUAAUGAUGGCCAGGCUGUCUCCACCCGAGACUCAGUGAAAUUGAACUCGCUGUGAAGAUGCAGUGUACCCGCGGCAAGACGGAAAGACCCCGUGAACCUUUACUAUAGCUUGACACUGAACAUUGAGCCUUGAUGUGUAGGAUAGGUGGGAGGCUUUGAAGUGUGGACGCCAGUCUGCAUGGAGCCGACCUUGAAAUACCACCCUUUAAUGUUUGAUGUUCUAACGUUGACCCGUAAUCCGGGUUGCGGACAGUGUCUGGUGGGUAGUUUGACUGGGGCGGUCUCCUCCUAAAGAGUAACGGAGGAGCACGAAGGUUGGCUAAUCCUGGUCGGACAUCAGGAGGUUAGUGCAAUGGCAUAAGCCAGCUUGACUGCGAGCGUGACGGCGCGAGCAGGUGCGAAAGCAGGUCAUAGUGAUCCGGUGGUUCUGAAUGGAAGGGCCAUCGCUCAACGGAUAAAAGGUACUCCGGGGAUAACAGGCUGAUACCGCCCAAGAGUUCAUAUCGACGGCGGUGUUUGGCACCUCGAUGUCGGCUCAUCACAUCCUGGGGCUGAAGUAGGUCCCAAGGGUAUGGCUGUUCGCCAUUUAAAGUGGUACGCGAGCUGGGUUUAGAACGUCGUGAGACAGUUCGGUCCCUAUCUGCCGUGGGCGCUGGAGAACUGAGGGGGGCUGCUCCUAGUACGAGAGGACCGGAGUGGACGCAUCACUGGUGUUCGGGUUGUCAUGCCAAUGGCACUGCCCGGUAGCUAAAUGCGGAAGAGAUAAGUGCUGAAAGCAUCUAAGCACGAAACUUGCCCCGAGAUGAGUUCUCCCUGACUCCUUGAGAGUCCUGAAGGAACGUUGAAGACGACGACGUUGAUAGGCCGGGUGUGUAAGCGCAGCGAUGCGUUGAGCUAACCGGUACUAAUGAACCGUGAGGCUUAACCUUACAACGCCGAAGGUGUUU